UGUUAAAUAUUUUAUUCAUAUUUACUGUUAAAAAUUGACAUGACUGACUAAAUAAUUAGAUGAUUACACGUGACGUGUCACAUGUACCACAUGUUGGUGUACAUGGAUCAACUUUUAACAGUAAAAAUAGAGUAAUUUGUUAAAA
rfam:Gossypium arboreum cultivar AKA8401 contig_255_3, whole genome shotgun sequence.